GAAAGUUCGAGGGAGGGUGGCGGAGGCUAGUUUACUGAGGACGGAUUCCCGGAGAGACUCGAGAGCUGUGUGACUCUCUGCUGGCUCGGCACUAGCCUUCGCCGAAGGAACCUAACGAGCUCUGCAGUUUAGAGGACCGGACCGACGACGGCGUCGCGCCCCUGUGACGUCAGACCGAGGAAGCUGGCGGUCCCGGCUGUGAGUUCAGGGAUCUGGUCUACGAUUCCUGCUGCCUCCUCCCGUUGGCCGCGGAAGCUCUAGUGCUGUGCUCGAGCCAAAGAGAGGACAAGGUGUGUUGUACCAGGUUCCCCACCGUUCUCCAUCACUUACUCAUACACUUUCAGACAUUGGAGAUCCGCUGCCUGAUGGGCAGAGUGACCCCCAGAGUGGGGUCGGCUACACAGUAAAUCCUGGAACAGAACCCAGGUCUCCUGACUUCUAGGACAAUGCUGUAUCCAUUUUGCUAAUGGGAGGCAAAUAUCAUGCCUCCUCUCACCCUCUUCUUUUUAUUUUUUUCAGUUUGUCUGUUAACACUGGUUAUUUCGCUAAAUAAAAUGAGUCAGGACACUGGGCUAGGCUCUGGGACAACACUGCCUCAGAGCCUAGAAAUAUAGUAUGAGUCACUUAAUGUAAGUUAAAAUCUUCUAGUAGCCACAUUAAAAAGUAAAACGGGUGAAGUUAAUUUUAAUUAUAUAUUUAACCUAGUUUCGCCAAAUAUUUAAACACGUAAUCAAUCUUAAAAAAUAUUAAUGAGAUCAUAUACGUUCUUUUCUCAUACCAAGUCUUAAAAUCCAGUAUGAGUUUUACACUCACUGCACAUCUCAAUUCAGAGGAGCCACAUUUGCAAUACUGAAUAGCCACAUGUGACUAGUGGCUCCUGUAUUGAACAGCACAGCUCUGGGAUAUCAAAGAAUAUAAGCUAUGAGAACAGUUCACCAAUGUAUCCGCCCAGACCUAGAAGAGUGAUUGGUACAUAGUAGGUCCUCAAUAAAUACUUGUUGAAUUGA